GAUAAAGGUACCUCGUGGCAAGCGGAGGUCUUUCUCUGUCAUCUCUUCACCAGUGAGAAGAGACUAGUCAGUAGCCCUGCCCUCACGGUAAGCACCUCAGAGAUAGCAGAAGAGAGCAAUAAAGUAUCCCCUUAGCGUCUUUUUCCCUGGAUCGUAAUGAGCUAAGCCCAGGCGUGCCGAGGAAGCCGGCAGAAGCGAGUAUGGAAGAGCUUCGCGUCCCGUCGUUUUCGGUCUUUGUUCCAGGCCAGGCGGGCGAGGACGGAAGGACAGCGCGAGUGAGAGCAGCCUUGAGGGAGGGCGAGAAGGACAGGCGGCGUGACAGCGGCCGGCUGAGCGCUGCAGCGGAGCAUUCGGCAGCGAGGACGAGCGAGCCCCGCGGCCCGGCUGUGGCAGCAUCCCCUCAGCAGCAGUUUGAGGAGCAGAGUCGGCACGGUCUGGAUGCGUCUGCGUGGAGUCAGAAAGCCAACCUGGUUGGAAUGGACAUGCGACUCCUACUUCUAUGUGAGAUUGCCCUGACUUCAACUGUUCAAGAAGAGAGCUGCAUCCAAGCACUUUGUGAAGUGUGUCGGCCCUGGGCUGUGACUGCUGCCUCAAGGAAGCCUGUUCUGAUAUCUCAGCCUUCCUUAGAGUGAGCUUUUUCUUCAUUUCCAACCUGUACCUCCUUUGACCUAAGAAACAAAAGCUGCCUGGGAAAAGAAGGAAACCCCACCUUGCAAGUGCUCCCUUUCAGCUAAGUUGAAUGGAAGGAAUCUGAGCCCUUCUUUGGACGCUGCAUGAGAGCAUUAUUGUUGUCUUUUAAUUAUGCUAUAUUAAUAUAACAGCCCUUUAUUGACUUAAUGUAUUAGACAGCUGAGGUUAAUGGAUGUACUGUUGUAUUGUUCUAAUAGUGGAAUGGAAUAAAACCUGUUGAAUUACCCUGAACUUGAACA
rnacentral:lncRNA from 1 species